CUUGCAGGGCCUCGGAGGCUGCUGUGGUUAUGAGGGCAUCUCUGACUCCCCUUACUCUGGCCUCCUCUCUCCGCCACAGAGCUCCCCCAUCCAGGAAUCCACCGCUCCCGAGCUGCCUUCGGAGACCCGGGAGACCCCAGGCCCCGCCCUGUGCAGGUGACACCACUCCCUGGCCCCCUGUCCACCACCCCUGCCCGCUGUCCUUGUUCUCACCAGUGGCCUCUCUCCACAGCCCUCUGAGGAAGUCACCUCUGACCCUCGAAGAUUUCAAGUUCCUGGCGGUGCUGGGCCGGGGUCAUUUUGGGAAGGUGAGGUGGAGGGCAGGGAAUUGGGAGACCCCCCAGGUCCCUGGCUGGCCGCUAAAACCACCCCUGCCCACUGUGGUUCCAGGUGCUCCUCUCCGAAUUCCGGCCCAGUGGGGAGCUGUUCGCCAUCAAGG
rnacentral:sRNA from 1 species